rnacentral:rRNA from 1 species
UACAGAGGUCUCAAGCGUUGUUCGGAUUUAUUGGGCGUAAAGAGCGUGUAGGCGGUUCGGUAAGUCUGUCGUGAAAUCCUGAGGCUCAACCUUGGACGUGCGAUGGAUACUGCCGGGCUAGAGGAUGGUAGAGGCGAGUGGAAUUCCCGGUGUAGCGGUGAAAUGCGCAGAUAUCGGGAGGAACACCAGUAGCGAAGGCGGCUCGCUGGGCCAUUCCUGACGCUGAGACGCGAAAGCUAGGGGAGCGAACAGG